rnacentral:rRNA from 1 species
AUGGCGAGUGGCGAACGGGUGAGUAAUAUAUCGGAACGUGCCCUAGAGUGGGGGAUAACUAGUCGAAAGACUAGCUAAUACCGCAUACGAUCUAAGGAUGAAAGUGGGGGAUCGCAAGACCUCAUGCUCGUGGAGCGGCCGAUAUCUGAUUAGCUAGUUGGUGGGGUAAAAGCCUACCAAGGCAACGAUCAGUAGCUGGUCUGAGAGGACGACCAGCCACACUGGGACUGAGACACGGCCCAGACUCCUACGGGAGGCAGCAGUGGGGAAUUUUGGACAAUGGGGGCAACCCUGAUCCAGCAAUGCCGCGUGAGUGAAGAAGGCCUUCGGGUUGUAAAGCUCUUUUGUCAGGGAAGAAACGGUUCUGGAUAAUACCUAGGACUAAUGACGGUACCUGAAGAAUAAGCACCGGCUAACUACGUGCCAGCAGCCGCGGUAAUACGUAGGGUGCAAGCGUUAAUCGGAAUUACUGGGCGUAAAGCGUGCGCAGGCGGUUGUGUAAGUCAGAUGUGAAAUCCCCGGGCUCAACCUGGGAAUUGCAUUUGAGACUGCACGGCUAGAGUGUGUCAGAGGGGGGUAGAAUUCCACGUGUAGCAGUGAAAUGCGUAGAUAUGUGGAGGAAUACCGAUGGCGAAGGCAGCCCCCUGGGAUAACACUGACGCUCAUGCACGAAAGCGUGGGGAGCAAACAGGAUUAGAUA